rnacentral:rRNA from 1 species
AGAGCGAACGCUGGCGGCAGGCUUAACACAUGCAAGUCGAGCGGGCACUUCGGUGUCAGCGGCAGACGGGUGAGUAACGCGUGGGAACGUACCUUUUGGUUCGGAACAACACAGGGAAACUUGUGCUAAAUACCGGAUAAGCCCUUACGGGGAAAGAUUUAUCGCCGAAAGAUCGGCCCGCGUCUGAUUAGCUAGUUGGUGAGGUAACGGCUCACCAAGGCGACGAUCAGUAGCUGGUCUGAGAGGAUGAUCAGCCACAUUGGGACUGAGACACGGCCCAAACUCCUACGGGAGGCAGCAGUGGGGAAUAUUGGACAAUGGGCGCAAGCCUGAUCCAGCCAUGCCGCGUGAGUGAUGAAGGCCCUAGGGUUGUAAAGCUCUUUUGUCCAGGAAGAUAAUGACUGUACCGGAAGAAGUAAGCCCGGCUAACUUCGUGCCAGCAGCCGC